GAAAUAAACCUGAUGAGUUGCUGCUGGUUCUCUAGGGAACAUGUGCACACUUGUCAUUUUUAUAUUUCCACCUGUGCACUUUUUGUAGACUUGGAUAUCUUUCUGAAUGCUUUUUUGUAGCAUGUCAGGUUUGAGGAUUGACUUUAUUGUCUGUCUUUACAUUUCCAGGUCUAUGUUCCUUCAAUAUACCCCUAAUGUAUGUUAUAGAAUGUAGUAAGUGGGCCUUUGUGCCUAUAAACCUUAUACAACUUUCAGCAACGGAUCUCUUGGCUCU
rnacentral:misc_RNA from 1 species